UGCUCGCUUGCUCGCUCCUGCUUCUGCGUGGCAGGCUUUAGCUGGAAGGGGAGGGGUGACUCAGAGGCUGGGAGCUAGCAAGCUCUUUUGGCCACAUAGCUCUGCCUUUGAUGUUGGCUGCUGGCUGGGACCUCAGUUGGGACUGUCAGCUGUUGCACCCAUGUGUAGCUUUUCUGACUCCAGCCACCAGCUAACCUACCCCUGGCAGGGAACCGGAGGGGGAUCCUGGCUGUUUACAACUGCUCUGAAUGGAAACCUCCUUCACUUUGUCAUCCAGAACAUUCGGAGGGAGCAGACUGGAAUCCCAGCAGACUUAGAAGCCCCCAAAACAGGGAAAAGAAACAGGGUCAAAGGGCACCUCCUCGGAAGACUUUGUGAGACUGUUGUAGCAUAAAUGAGCACGCUUAGGAAAACUUGCCGCAUCCCAUGGGAAAGUUGAGGACAUGUAACAUCUACCACCCAGCAACUCCAUUCCUCGUUAAUAUCAUAGAGUACCAGGCCUCCACACCUUUGGUCUCAAGACUACUUUACAUUUUUAAAUAUUAGCAAAGACCCCAAAUAACUUGUUUGAGUGAGUUAAACUGGUUGAUUUUUACCAUAUUAGUAGUUAAAAAUAAUUAAAAAAUAAUAAACUCAUGCACACUAAUAAAAGUAACAUAAUUAAUGAAAACAAACUCAUAUUUUCCAAAACAAAUAACAGGCAGAACAUAGUGAGGAGGGGGUCACUGUCUGGCGGAAGCCAGCUGGGCUCAUGUCUGCCCUGCGUGGCUCUGCUGGGGUGCUGUGUACCCCGCAACUGCUAGGAAAUUCCUGCGUGCACUCGGGAGAGAAGUGGGCUGAGAAGCACAAACAACACUGCUGUAUAUUAGCAAAAUAGCUUUGACUUCACAGACCCUCCUGAGGAUUUCAGGAGCCCUUCGAGGCCUUUGACAGACCUGACCAUGUUUUCGGGAGGGUUGUGGAAGUACUUUGGAACUUUGAGCUAAAGAAGACAUGGUCUUCUUGGGUGUUGAGAGCUCUGUGGGCUGUUCUGGAGGAGUCUGGAAGAUAGGAACACUGAGAGCAGUCAGAAAGACUCCACUGGGUCUUUUGUGCGAAGAACCUGCGGCACGGUCAGAGGGAGCUAAGGAGUCAGCUGUGAUUAACAAGACGACAGAAACACUGAAGUAAAACCGUUGGGACAAUGAAUGCUGGCCAGCUGACUCCUCGGAGUCAGCACAUCGAAGCUGCGUUCCAGAAAUGACCUACGUUGUACUUCAUUCUGGCAACCAAACUUGGUAGCAAAAGAGUCACCCAGGUGGGGUUGGUUUUGAAGGCACGGGGGAGGGGGGGUCAUGGAGAGCAGCUGAGGCCUGGCACUGUAUGGCAGGGCUGGAGUCCCUAGAGAGCCCAGGAGAGGCUGUCGUUGGAAGAAUAGCCUAGAUGUAGCAAGAGACCCAACACAUUUGGAGACACCGGUACCAUCGGAUGGCUGCCAAGCACCCGUGGAGUGUAACCAGCUGGAGUCUAAAAGACAAGCUGUGUGGCUUCAGAGGACAGAAUUGGAGAAGUGACCCAAGUCCUUUGGAGGAGCCCAGAAGAUCGUGAGCGAAUCCCGGAUAAUUGGGCA